UACCGUCUCAAUAGACAGCAGCAUCCCAUAGGCUUCCAACCCCUCUUCCUCUGCACCAUCAUCACCACAGCCUUCCACAUCCAGCCAAGGACUGCCUCCAUAUCAGCAACCAUCCCAGCCUCCUCUGCACCCACCUCUUCAUCGUCCUGCUGAGCCAAGUGGAGCCUCUGGUCCUGCAACAUCAGCUGGGUGCAGUGUUGCAGACCAGGCCCCUGCUCCAAUUCUUGGACCUGAUGGCAUCCCUGGCUAUGAUAAGGUGCAGGAUUUGGUUGGGUACACGGUGUCCCUCUGUCAGGCACUCUACCUGGAUGAGCAGCAGGUCACAGCGGUCAUCCGCUGGUGGACUACUCUUCCUGAUGGGGACAAGAGGAAGAUCAAUUAUCAGCCCAGACACCGAUACAAGUUGGCCCAGGGUCACUUAAGGCCCCUAAAAACACAGGAGUGACACCGGGCUGUGGAAAGUGUUGAGAGGCGUCUGAUUGGUCAUCCAGGGGGUCCGGCUCAGUGGCCCAGCACCAGUCGCUUAGUUGAGGCCUUGUGCAUAAAGCUGUGUUCACUGCACAAGUAUCCAAACAAGAAGGACGGAUUACCACCACAUCUGAGACCUAGUGCUGAACUGCCACACCCUGAUGUAGUGCCUUUUGUCCUGAAUCAAAGGACUCGUACACAGUGGUUUAUUCGAGCACCCAGGAGUUAGGUGUCCUUACCCAGGGCCUUGCUUUUGAAGGUGGCAUCGCUGUGGCCAGCUCAGUUUCCAGCUCUGUGGGAAAGGCUGGAUCAAACUCCCUCCACAUCAGGGCUCCCACGUGAGUUUGUCCUUCCCCCGAAGAGAUCGGGAUAGGCUCCCAGGCAGAUGACCUGCUGGUGCCGCGGUUGUGCUGCCCAUCGCCCCAGCAGCUCCUCUUCCACUCCCAGCUCCUGUGCCACCACUCCAGUUUAUUUUACUGAACCCUGGGUCGAUGGUGAUGGCAGCGGGUGCUGGUCACCCCUCAGAUGCCCCUCCACUGGUUCCAACUCCGGUUUUACCUGCCAAACAAGUGGCUCCUGCACCCACUGCCCCGUGUCUUUUUUCUUUAUAUUACUGAAUACUGCUAUUAUAUUACUUCUGUUAUAUUAUAAUACUGUAUUAUUUCUAUUAUAUUAUUAGUUGUUUAUAAAUGGAAGUGUGUUGUGUGUGGUGCUCUGUUUUUGUGAACAAAUGCUGUUCAUAGAUUCUGAUUCAUUGUGCUGCUUUUAAUUGCCUUGGAUUGGAGUGUUUAAUGUUUACUUAACUGAGGCCAGGGCCACUGUAAGUCCCAGCAGCUUGUCUUUGAACAACAGGCUCCUGCUGAGGGUCGGAGGGAGGUCAGGGCAGGCGCUGUUCAUCACAUAACAUUGAUGACCCCGUGGUGAAAUUUUAUUACUCUACUCUUUGCUGCAAGCUCAAUCUCAAAGGCUAAUACUAGUGCAGGUACUCUAUUGUUACAUUAAUGAGAGGUAGUAGGCUUAAACAAUCAAAAUAAGUUUGCAUUUACCAUGUAGAUGUGAUGUACAUUUACUUUUUUUAACGUCAUACAAAAACGAUUUUGACUUUAUUUUUGUAUACGUCUACAAGACUAAACAAUAAUAUUAUAUCUCAUUUAAAAAGGG